CUUUUAUUCAGAGUGGUGGAGAUACAAAGGAUCUAUGAAGCCACGGCAACCCCUUUAUGUAUAAGGAAGGUGCCAACCUGAGCGAGUCAUCGAACAAUAAGAG
rfam:Ruminococcus obeum CAG:39 genomic scaffold, scf209